AUUUUUAUUUCGAUGCAGUGGAACCCACUCAGCGUAGCGCGUGUAUUGUUCUAGACUUAGUUACCUCAACCAUCCGUAGCGCCAGUAGCAGCAGAAGAAUGCCAGAGGUAGCAGGAUUGAUCCAUGAUCACACGGGCAGUAGCAAACUGAUGCCAACCUUCUCUGCUCUCACCACCACCACCAGAAGAAGAAAUGGCACUCGAGCAGACGAACAGAACAGAGCACUCUCCCAGCAGCGAAGUAGCAGUAGAGGGGAGCAGAGCACCAGCCGUGCCGCAACUCCUCUGUUUUCCUACAAGCAGCAGCCAGCGGAGCGGAGAGGAGAGGAGUCCUCUGUUCAAGCACGUACAGCAGGCAGGAGAGGAUGAGUCCGCACGACGCCGUGGAGCCUGGACGGGGCGGCCGGAGGCGAGCGUGUUGGCGCGACAGAUUGCGGUGAAGACGACGGUGCGCGGCGACGGGCCGCUGCGGACGACGGUGCGCGGCGACGGGCCGCUGCGGAGGAGGGCCCACGACCAGAUUCGCGACGUGCUGGGCGGCGACGGGCCACGACCACGACGUGCGGCUGGCUACGCCGCGACGGGGGCACAGCCGCACAGGGCGGCCGGUGAUCGGAGCACGUGAAGGUGAGGUUUUGGAAGGUGGAACUGUUAACUUACUGAGUAGAUCUUCUGGCGAAUACAACAUCAGUGAGGUUGGCUUCCAUAAACGAAAGACUGGACGAGAUAAAGCACGUUCUUCUGAUAAGGCAUACCGAUGUUCAUCUCGCGAGAUGCAUAUUUUUGGUUCUGUUGCAAGUGGUUCAAGCAGUGUUGUCCACAGAGCUAUUUUCAUACCAGCUCAUCGGAUUAUGGCUUUGAAGAAGAUAAAUGUUUUUGAGAAGGAGAAAAGAGAACAGAUUAUUAAUGAGUUGGGAACAUUAUCAGAAGCCUGUUGCUAUCCAGGCUUGGUUGAAUUCCAUGGAGCAUUUUACAAGCCUAAUUCUGGAGCAAUAUAUUUUGCACUUGAGUACAUGGAUGGCGGUUCUUUAGCAGAUAUCAUCAGGGUCAAGAAAUUUAUACCGGAACCAGUUCUUGCAAGAUACAUUACCUCAGUUAAUUUAGCUGAUAUCACCUCAGUUGUCUUAGAAGAUAUCACCUCAGUUGUCUUAGUAACUCUCAGCAAUUUUAAUCCAGGCCUUAUGAUCGACCAGCAGCUUAUAGAAGCUUCUGCAUGUGUACUACUCUUAUGUCUUUUGGGCGCACCUAGUUAGCUACAAAUUUAUCUUAAAGUAAAGAGUAGAAUUGAUAUUUUUUGGCCUUAAGCAACUAUUGAAAGUCAAAAACAACGAAAGUUUCUUCUUUUAUCAACAUAACAAUAACAAUUGUAGGCAGCCAGGACUAGUAGCACAGUUUCUGUGCUCCGGACAUACUGUCACCAAAUGCAUGCAAUCAUGUGUGUGAAACUCAUGAACUGCAUCUCUGCACAUGGUUUUCCUUUCUCAUUGUUUGUGAGAUUUUGGGAUAAAGUUCAUGUGUUUGCUGGUAUCACGUUUUCUCUUAUUGCAAAACAAAGUUCGGUAACAUUUAGUUAGCUACUGACCUACAUUGUUUUCUACAUCCCAGAUGCUUGCUGUACAUUACUAUCUGAUGUUUUAUGGUUCGGAUACUGUCUGGCGCUACAUGAAAACAUUCUAUAGAGAGGAGUCUGUUUUCAGUUUCUUAGGGGAAGAACAUAUCGGCCAAAGCGACAUAUUUGGGACCUUGUCAAGAAUAAGGAAAAUGCUGAAAUGUAGCCGCCCUCGUAGUAAGAUCGUUCAUGUAAUAGAAAAGGUUCGCUGUUGUGCACAUGGGGAAGAAGGCGUCGCAAUUCGUGUGUCUGGGUUAUUCAUUGUCGGGAAUGAGCUCCUUGUUUGUGAAGAUGGGCUACGAGCUGAAGGGAUGCCAAGCACUGACGAAGUCCCCUUUGACAUCAUGAGCAAGCGGGUCGGUCGUUUCCGAGAGGAAUUCUUUAUGGAGCCAGGAAAUGCCAUGGGUUGCUUCAUCAUAUCAACGCAAAAACUACACGUCGAAACAUGGAGUUUUACCUCUCAGAUCGUGGAAUCUGUUUGAGGCCUUAAAGCCCAUCUGUAUGAAAAGAAAACCAUAACUUCAUAAGCAUGGGGCGUUACCUCUGCAUCAACCUUCAGGUUGAUCUGUCAAGGCAGAUGUAUGAGCUACAGUGGUCUCUGAGUCUCUGACAUCUUACUACAAGGGAGUCAAAGAAGUUCAGUUGAUACACAAUACCUGCACAAAGUGUUCAGUCUGUAAACAAUAGUGAAGUCCACCUGAUCAAAUCGUAUGUGUGCCGCUACUAGCGCAUGUCUCUAAGAUCAAUGCUUGAAAAUACAACUAUAGUAUGUAGCAAAGACUGAAUUCUUUACUGCCUCGGGCCUUAAAGAAUACACGUCUAUAUCAUGGGGUCCUUCCAUAA